rnacentral:rRNA from 1 species
GAUGAACGCUGACAGAAUGCUUAACACAUGCAAGUCGACUUGAAGCAACUUCGGUUGUGGAAAGUGGCGGACGGGUGAGUAACGCGUAAAGAACUUACCCUUCAGUCUGGGACAACCAUUGGAAACGAUGGCUAAUACCGGAUAUUAUGGAACUCUCGCAUGGGAGGAUCAUGAAAGCUAUAUGCGCUGAAGGAGAGCUUUGCGUUCCAUUAGCUAGUUGGUGAGGUAACGGCUCACCAAGGCGACGAUGGAUAGCCGGCCUGAGAGGGUGAUCGGCCACAAGGGGACUGAGACACGGCCCUUACUCCUACGGGAGGCAGCAGUGGGGAAUAUUGGACAAUGGACCAAAAGUCUGAUCCAGCAAUUCUGUGUGCACGAUGAAGGUUUUCGGAUCGUAAAGUGCUUUCAGUUGGGAAGAAGAAAGUGACGGUACCAACAGAAGAAGCGACGGCUAAAUACGUGCCAGCAGCCGCGGUAAUACGUAUGUCGCAAGCGUUAUCCGGAUUUAUUGGGCGUAAAGCGCGUCUAGGCGGGUUCAUAAGUCUGAUGUUAAAAUGCGGGGCUCAACUCCGUAUUGCGUUGGAAACUGUGAACCUAGAGUAUCAGAGAGGUGGGCGGAACUACAAGUGUAGAGGUGAAAUUCGUAGAUAUUUGUAGGAAUGCCGAUGGAGAAGUCAGCUCACUGGAUGAAUACUGACGCUAAAGCGCGAAAGCGUGGGUAGCAAACAGG